rnacentral:lncRNA from 1 species
GGAAUGAGGCUGGGACUGGGGACUGAGGACUGGGGACUGGGUCUGGCAAUGGGAAUGGGAAUGGGGCUGGGAGUGGGGACUGGGACUAAGGACUGGAGCCAGGGCUGGGGCCGGGGCUGGGACUAGGACUAGGGCUGGGAGUAGGGCCGGUACUGGGACUGGAGCUGCUGCUGCCCAGGCCUCCCCAAGGGCUGAGCCAAGGCGGGAUGGGGUUGGGAGGACUCUGAUGGGAAAGGAGCCAAUUGGAAACAGUGGGAUAUACCGGAGGAAUUGACGUCAGUCAGAAAGAGGGAAUUUUGUAAUGGGAAAUGAGACUGUCCAUGUGAAAGGAAGGAAUCAGAUGGUAAAUACAGUGUGGGAGCAGCAGCAUGGAAGAAAUUGGUUUGUAACACAUCAUAAACUGAUCAGGAGUCCAAAAUAUGAUGUUCUGGGGGAAAAAGGUAUCUCUAAAGGGCCCUGGCAAUGAAAAGGAAAAAAUCCACAACCCCUCCUCCAAAGCUCCUGUAUGAUCAAAAGGCUGUGGAGAAUGCUGAAUGAACUAUUACCAUUACUGCCUUAUGUGCAGAGGAUGCUUCAUGCUGCCAACACAUGUUCUUACCUGGCUGUACUGGGCAGACCCUGUGAGCAGCACCAGCUCAUAAGUGACCUGGAGCGUGGACUUGGAGUGAGUUUGAUUUGAGAAUGAGGAUACAGGACCAGUGAUGGGGAGGUCAGAUACUCAUGAGAGAUUGUAAUAGUGGCAUGCGUGUCUGUCCAGACUCAAGCUACCACGUGUCUAGAAGAACCUUUAGGCCUUCUUUAGGGAGGAAAGGGCCUGGCAUAAAAAUACUUUAGGUGUCUCAUCCAUUAAAGAUAACUUUCAGAGCAUGGCCAGGCGAAAUACUUGCUCCUGAAUCUGCAUGUCAGCAGCUCUGGUGUCUGUGCUGUUGUGAGAGCUUCCUAGGAGAGAAUCAGAACUCAUAGACAUGACUGAAUAAAAACCUAUGAUCCGAGAAAUCA